AUUGAACGCUGGCGGCAGGCCUAACACAUGCAAGUCGAGCGGAUGAAGGGAGCUUGCUCCUGGAUUCAGCGGCGGACGGGUGAGUAAUGCCUAGGAAUCUGCCUGGUAGUGGGGGAUAACGUCCGGAAACGGGCGCUAAUACCGCAUACGUCCUGAGGGAGAAAGUGGGGGAUCUUCGGACCUCACGCUAUCAGAUGAGCCUAGGUCGGAUUAGCUAGUUGGUGGGAUAAAGGCCUACCAAGGCGACGAUCCGUAACUGGUCUGAGAGGAUGAUCAGGCACACUGGAACUGAGACACGGUCCAGACUCCUACGGGAGGCAGCAGUGGGGAAUAUUGGACAAUGGGCGAAAGCCUGAUCCAGCCAUGCCGCGUGUGUGAAGAAGGUCUUCGGAUUGUAAAGCACUUUAAGUUGGGAGGAAGGGCAGUAAGUUAAUACCUUGCUGUUUUGACGUUACCAACAGAAUAAGCACCGGCUAACUUCGUG
rnacentral:rRNA from 1 species